AUGACCCCUCGGUGGUCCCCGCACAAUCUGGGGAGACUCAGGGCAGCGGGCGCGGAGCUGCCCAGAAAGGGCUCCGGGGACCGGGUCGCAGUCGCCGCGCAGGGGCGGAACAGGACGCCCUGGGGACCGAGGGCCGAGCCGUGCCAGGGGGACUCGGGUCCCACACCACCGAGUCGCAGCGGGGGGCCCUGCCACAGCCGGUUCCGUCCGGUUCCAACCAGCCCCUCCCCCGUCUCCAGACCCCUGGCCCGCACGCUUACCUUUCUUGCCUUUCAGGUGGCUCCCACAACCAGUGCAAAAGUGACACUCCUUGCUAUCCCACAGACUCCGAACCGUGCUGCAUACUAUCCUCCUAGCCAAAUUGCUCAACUAAAGACUAAGUCCUUGCUAGACUGCUCAGGGUGCCAGACCUCAUCCAUUCCAAAAUACGCCCGGUGCUAUCCACCCAGCUGCUCCUAGACCACCAUUUAGUACUAUGAGACCAGCUUCUUCACAGGUUCCACAAGUCAUGUCAACACAGCGUGUUGCUAACACAUCAACACAGACAAUGGGUCCACGUUCUGCAGCUGCAGCUGCUGCAGCUACUCCUGCUGUCUGCACCGUUCCACAGUAUAAAUAUGCUGUGGGAGUUCGCAGUCCUCAGCAACAUCUUAAUGCACAGCCACAGUUACAAUGCAACAGCCUGCUGUUCAUGUACAAGGUCAAGAACCUUUGACUGCUUCCAUGUUGGCAUCUGCCCCUCCUCAAGAGCAAAAGCAAAUGUAGGGUGAAUGGCUGUUUCCUCUUAUUCAAGCCAUGCACCCUUCUCUUGCUGGUAAAAUCACUGGUAUGUUGUUGCAGAUUGAUAAUUCAGAACUUCUUCAUAUGCUUGAGUCUCCAGAGUCACUCCAUUCUAAGGUUGAUGAAGCUGUAGCUGUACUACAAGCCCGCCAAGCUAAAGAGGCUGCCCAGAAAGCCGCUAACAGUGCCACCGGUGUUCCAACUGUUUAAAAUUGAUCAGGGACCAUGAAAAGAAACUUGUGCUUCACCGAAGAAAAAUAUCUAAACAUCAAAUAACUUAAAUAUUAUGGGGAAAAAAUUGCAAAAUAUAAAAUAAAUAAAAAAAGGAAAGGAAACUUUGAACCUUAUGUACCGAGCAAAUGCCAGGUCUAGCAAACAUAAUGCUAGUCCUAGAUUACUUAUUGAUUUAAAAACAAACAAAAAAAAAAUAGUAAAAUAUAAAAACAAAUUAAUGUUUUAUAGACCCUGGGAAAAAGAAUUUUCAGCAAAGUACAAAAAUUUAAAGCAUUCCUUUCUUUAAUUUUGUAAUUCUUUACUGUGGAACAGCUGAAAAUGUCAGUACUGUUUUAAGUAACAGAAUUGAAAACUGAGCAAGGAAACGUAAUUUGGAUUAUAAAAUUCUUGCUUUAAUAAAAAUUCCUUAAAAAGUAAAAAAAAAAAAAAAAAGAA